GCCCUCGGUGGCUCAGAUGGAUAGAGCUUCUGCCAUGUAAGCAGAAGAUCCCGGGUUCGAGUCCCGGUCGGGGCA
rnacentral:tRNA from 1 species